UACGGGGGGGCAAGCGUUGUUCGGAAUUACUGGGCGUAAAGGGCUCGUAGGUGGCCAACUAAGUCAACCGUGAAAUCCCUCGGCUUAACCGGGGAACUGCGUUUGAUACUGGAUGGCUUGAGUUUGGGAGAGGGAUGCGGAAUUCCAGGUGUAGCGGUGAAAUGCGUAGAUAUCUGGAGGAACACCGGUGGCGAAGGCGGCAUCCUGGACCAAUACUGACGCUGAGGAGCGAAAGCCAGGGGAGCAAACGGG
rnacentral:rRNA from 1 species